rnacentral:ncRNA from 2 species
CUCUUAUCGAGAGUGGUGGAGGGAUAAGGCCCUGUGAAACCACGGCAACCGACCUAAGAAAAAGUUAGGUGUCAGGUGCUAAAGCUAUCCGCUGCAGUACAAGCGGGGCGAUAAGGG